rnacentral:ribozyme from 1 species
UGCAAGGUCAUCUCACCAGGUUUGCACUGCGCAAUGCAUUGUCGUUGGAUAUCGAGAACCGCUUCGUAAAGCUCA